AAGGCUCUGGGAUAUACGUGAUGGAAUAAAUGGAAUCUUGAGCCAAAUGGUUAAAAAGGGAAUUCUACUUUGGGUAAAGCGUGUACGUCCCGACGUAACGUCGGGAAAACACAAACUAUUCAAGAGAAUACCCACUUUGUAAAGCAGCUUUAAGAUUCCUGUCCCACACGGUAUCUUGGGGCUUUU
rnacentral:other from 1 species